rnacentral:rRNA from 1 species
AACGAACGCUGGCGGCAGGCUUAACACAUGCAAGUCGAGCGCCCCGCAAGGGGAGCGGCAGACGGGGGAGUAACGCGUGGGAAUCUACCCAUCUCUACGGAAUAACGCAUGGAAACGCGUGCUAAUACCGUAUACGUCCUUCCGGAGAAAGAUUUAACGGAGAUGGGUGAGGCCGCGUUGGAUUAGCUAGUUGGUGGGGUAAAGGCCUACCAAGGCGACGAUCCAUAGCUGGUUUGAGAGGAUGAUCAGCCACACUGGUACUGGUGCACGGCCCAGACUCCUACGGGAGGCCACAGUGGGGAAUAUUGGAAAAUGGGCACACGCCUGAACCAGCCAUGCCGCGUGAGUGAUGAAGGCACGAGGGUUGUAAAGCUCUUUCACCGUUGAAGAUACUGACGGUAACCGGGGAAGAAGCCCCGGCUAACUUCGUGCCAGCCGCCGCCGUAAGAC